GCCGGGGUGGCGAAAUGGCAGACGCGGCGGACUCAAAAUCCGUUGGGCGCAAGCCCGUGGGGGUUCGACUCCCCCCCCCGGCA
rnacentral:tRNA from 1 species